AUGGCUGCCUCCUCCAGUGCCGCGCAUACUGGCCUUUCUGGCCAGAUCACCGAGAAGGUGACUCGCACCAACUACAUCCUCUGGUGGACUCAGAUCACACCGCAUCUCCGUGGUGCAGGCUUCUUCGGCUACGUCGACGGCUCCAUGCCUGAGUGGGCCAAGCUCGUCAUCACAAAUGACAAGGACUAGAAGGAGGAAGCUUCACCAAAUCCCCUUCAUCCGAUCUAGAUCCAUGAGGAUCAGCAUGUACUUGGAUACCUCAUGAGUAAGCUCUCCAAGGAGUUACUUGUGCAGGUCACGACGAUCGACCGCGUGCAAGAUCUCUGGCUAGCACUUUCGAACAUGUUUUUGUCAUAG
rnacentral:rRNA from 1 species